rnacentral:rRNA from 1 species
CCUACGGGAGGCAGCAGUAAGGAAUAUUGGUCAAUGGAGGCAACUCUGAACCAGCCAUGCCGCGUGCAGGAAGACGGCCCUCUGGGUUGUAAACUGCUUUUAUCCGGGAAUAAACCUAUCUACGUGUAGAUAGCUGAAUGUACCGGAGGAACAAGGAUCGGCUAACAA